AUCCGCCCGCAGUCCAAUGUGACGACAUCACGAGUUCACGACAUACUGACAUUCGGCAAUUCCUUCCCUCCAAACUACCGAAGUCUACUUCCAUUCCUUCCUUUCUCCUUUCAUAUACCCGCGUCGCCCACGAGCCCGCCGUGCCGACAGAGGUGUGGACCUCGCCGGAGCAGAGGCUAUGGGGCCACCGCAGCCAGCCAGGCCCGGCGUCAUCAACAUCGAGGCCUGCGCGCGGCCGAUCGCCGUCGACCACCGCAUCAGCCUUCCCUACUACUUCCGCAUCGCGGGCAGCCUCCUCCGACAGGCUAAUAUAUAUCGGAACGAGAGUAACUUCCUCGACCUAUAUGUCAUCCUUCUGAGAUACUCGAGCUUGCUGUGUGAAACAAUUCCGAGGCAUCGUGAUUACCAUGCCUUCAAGUUAAGAGAAAAGGCAUUUUUUGAUAAACUUGUUGAUGUUAUCAAAGAACUUGAGACAUUGAAGCCAGUUGUGCAGCGGCAGAUUGCCGAUCAUAACAGAGGAGGUACUGUGGAAUCUAAUAUGAAUAGUCUAAAUGGAGACAAUGGUACAACUCAUAGGAUAGAGCAGCAUACUCCAAGCUCUUAUACUCCACAGCCAUUUGUAGGUAGCACUAAUGGAGCAUCGCAAAAAUCCUUCCAUGCUGGGAGACAAGUGGCAUCAUUACUGAGUGUCCAGAAACAAUAUAUGAAUCUACCAUAUCCAAAAGAAGAAACACUAGCUAGACACUCCAUAUUAGGACCUAACGGUCUUAAUGGUCGAUGGAAUGGGCCUGUUACUGGAAUUAAGGUUCAGUAUCCAAGCAAUUUUGAAUUAACACAAAACGAUAUAACAAGUUUAGUGCCAUCCAUCUUGAACCAAGAUGAUCCGCAAGGUCCCAGUACUGCACCUCCACCUCCAGAUAGCCCCUCCAAUGACAAUGACGAUAUGAAAUCUGUUCUCUCUCUUGAUGAUGGUCGAUGGUCUGUAUCAGCAGACGAACACACUUCAUUUACUUCUGCUAAUUUGGAAGAAGAGUUGUUACAGUUGAAUAUCAAACAACCUUCUCCUCCACCAGUUCUGGCAGAGGUACAAAGACCAAUUUCUCCAUCAAGAGUUGCUGAUCCAACACCAGGACUUCCGACCUCGGGAACUGCCCGUUUUCAGAACUUGCAUGUUCCGAUCAAGUUGAUGGAUUGUUUUCUAAGGGUUGCCGAGUCAAACACCAAAAGAAGCUUAGAAACCUGUGGGGUUCUUGCUGGUACCCUGAAAAAUAGAACUUUUUAUGUGACAACCUUAAUUAUCCCAAAGCAGAAAUCGACAUCUGUUACGUGUGAAGCUACAAAUGAAGAAGAACUAUUUGAAGUUCAGGACAUGGGCUCACUGUUCACUCUUGGUUGGAUUCAUGAGUUGGUAAUAUCUUGUAAAAUUACAUGUGCUGUUUGAUGUUUUCUGUACCUGCAAAAGUGCAAAUAGUCUUGGAAUCACUUGCAACUGUGGUUGCUUUACUCAUGCUGGAGAAAAUAUCACAUUCUUCAAUGUUUUCUUUUCCCCCAGACACAUCCAACACAGUCCUGCUUCCUUUCUUCCGUUGACCUCCACAACCAUUAUUCUUAUCAGGUCAUGCUGCCUGAAGCAAUUGCAAUAGUUAUGGCACCUACUGACACAACAAGAAAACAUGGUAUAUUUCAUCUCACGGAUCCAGGUGGUAUGGGCGUGAUCCAUGAUUGUCAAGAGAGAGGUUUCCAUCCUCAUAAGGCACCUCUUGAUGGUUCGCCAAUCUACAAGCAAUGCUCCCAUGUGUACAUGGACACCGACAUAAAGUUUGAUAUGAUUGAUCUCCGAGAACGAUGAGAGCCUAACUUUUUUGGGUUUAUUUUGGAGCCCAUACUGUAGUUAAAUCAAGUUGCUGCCUUUUUCUUAGUCGUGCUGAAGAUUUGUGGAUUCUUAUGUAUGCUGUUGUACAUAGCUAUUGUAUUGUAUAGAGAAAACAAUUGAGUGAAUGAUAUCAGUCAUUGCUGCUUUGUUGCGAUUCAUCC